UAUGUACAUAUUUUAAUUAUUAAUCAUUUUAUUAAUUUAAAUAAAAUUACAUUCAAAUCCACCUUCAAUUAAAUAUUUCAAUUUAAUAUUCAUUAAUAAAUAAAUUUAUUGUAAUCCAUUAUAUUCUUAAUUAUAAUCUGCAUCUUGAUCUGAUUUAAUUUUAUUUUAAAAUUUUUAAAUAUUAUUUUUAUUAAAAAAUAUUUUUUUAACAACGAUAUACAAAAUAAUAAAUUAAGUAAAUUUAUUCGUGGACUAUCAAUUAAUAAACAGAUUCCUCUGAAUGAACUAAAAUACCGCCAAUUUAUUUAAGUUUCAAUAAAUUAUUUACUAUUUUAGUAUUAUAUAUUUAAUUUCUUAAUAAUAGGGUAGCUAAUCCUAGUUUA
rnacentral:rRNA from 1 species